GACGAACGCUGGCGGCGUGCUUAACACAUGCAAGUCGAACGGAAAGGCCCUGCUUUUGUGGGGUGCUCGAGUGGCGAACGGGUGAGUAACACGUGAGUAACCUGCCCUUGACUUUGGGAUAACUUCAGGAAACUGGGGCUAAUACCGGAUAGGAGCUCCUGCUGCAUGGUGGGGGUUGGAAAGUUUCGGCGGUUGGGGAUGGACUCGCGGCUUAUCAGCUUGUUGGUGGGGUAGUGGCUUACCAAGGCUUCGACGGGUAGCCGGCCUGAGAGGGUGACCGGCCACACUGGAACUGAGAGGAGGUCGAGAGGCCUACGGGAGGCAGCAGGAGGGAAGCUUGCGCAAUGGGCGAAAGCUGGACGGAGCAAGGACGCGGGAGUGAUGAAGGUCUUCGGAGCGUAAAACUCUGUGAUUAGGGAAGAAAAAAUGUGUAAGUAACUAGGCACGUCUUGACGGUACCUAAUCAGAAAGCCACGGCUAACUACGUG
rnacentral:rRNA from 1 species